ensembl:snRNA U6 spliceosomal RNA
GUGCUCGCUUGGGCAGCACAUAUACUAAACUUGGAAGAAUACAGAGAAGAUUAGCAUGGCCCCUGUUCAAGGAUGACACACACAUUCAUAAGGAGUUACAUAUUUAA